rnacentral:tRNA from 1 species
GCCCCUGUGGCUCAGUGGUAGAGCGUUCGCUUGGUAAGCGAGAGGUCACGAGUUCAAUUCUCGUCAGGGGCU